rnacentral:rRNA from 1 species
UACGAAGGGGGCUAGCGUUGCUCGGAAUCACUGGGCGUAAAGGGCGCGUAGGCGGCCGUUUGCGUCGGAUGUGAAAGCCCGGGGCUCAACCUCGGAACGGCAUUCGAUACGGGACGGCUGGAGACCGGGAGAGGAGAGUGGAAUAGCCAGUGUAGAGGUGAAAUUCGUAGAUAUUGGCUGGAACACCGGUGGCGAAAGCGGCUCUCUGGCCCGGUUCUGACGCUGAGGCGCGAAAGCGUGGGGAGCAAACAGG